GUCAGGAUGGCCGAGUGGUCUAAGGCGCCAGACUCAAGUUCUGGUCCUCUAACGAUGGCUUGGGUUCAAAUCCCACUUCUGACA
rnacentral:tRNA from 1 species